CAGCAGUCGCGAAAACUUCACAAUGGAGGCAACUCCGAUGAGGGGAUUCCAAGUGCUAGCACAUAUGUGUUAGCUUUUCUUAAGCAUAGAUAACUUAAGGAAUAAGGGCUGGGUAAGACGGGUGCCAGCCGCCGCGGUAAUACCCGCAGCCCAAGUGGUGGUCGAUUUUAUUGAGUCUAAAACGUUCGUAGCCGGUUCAUUAAAUCCUUGGGUAAAUCGGAUGGCUUAACUAUCCGAAUUCCGGGGAGACUGGUGAACUUGGGACCGGGAGAGGCCAGAGGUACUUCUGGGGUAGGGGUAAAAUCCUGUAAUCCUAGAAGGACCACCGGUGGCGAAGGCGUCUGGCUAGAACGGAUCCGACGGCGAGGGACGAAGCCCUGGGUCGCAAACGGGAUUAGAUACCCCGGUAGUCCAGGGUGUAAACGCUGCCGACUUGGUGUUGGAGGCCCUUCGGGGGCAUUCAGUGCCGGAGAGAAGUUGUU
rnacentral:rRNA from 1 species